CCUACGGGGAGCAGCAGUGAGGAAUAUUGGUCAAUGGCCGAGAGGCUGAACCAGCCAAGUCGCGUGAGGGAAGACGGCCCUACGGGUUGUAAACUUCUUUUGUCGGGGAGUAAAGCGAGUCACGUGUGACUCAUUGAGAGUACCCGAAGAAAAAGCAUCGGCAAACGCGGUGCCAGCAGCCGCGGUAGUACGGAGGAUGCGAGCGGUAUCCGGAUUUAUUGGGGUAAAAGGGUGCGCAGGCGGAGGUGCAAGUCAGCGGUCAAAUUGCGGGGCUCAACCCCGUACUGCCGUUGAAACUGCAUCCCUUGAGUGCGCGAGAAGUAUGCGGAAGGCGUGGUGUAGCGGUGAAAUGCAUAGAUAUCACGCAGAACUCCGAUUGCGAAGGCAGCAUACCGGCGCGCAACUGACGCUCAGGCACGAAAGCGUGGGUAUCGAACAGGAUUAGAUACCCUUGUAGUC
rnacentral:rRNA from 1 species